rnacentral:rRNA from 1 species
CCUACGGGUGGCAGCAGUGGGGAAUAUUGGGCAAUGGGCGAAAGCCUGACCCAGCAACGCCGCGUGAAGGAAGAAGGCCUUCGGGUUGUAACCUUCUUUUGACGGGGAAGAGAAGAAGACGGUACCUGUCGAAUAAGCCACGGCUAACUACGUGCCAGCAGCCGCGGUAAUACGUAGGUGGCAAGCGUUGUCCGGAUUUACUGGGUGUAAAGGGCGUGUAGCCGGGCUGAGAAGUCAGGUGUGAAAUUCGGGGGCUCAACCCCCGAACUGCAUUUGAAACUGUUGGUCGUGAGUAUCGGAGAGGCAGGCGGAAUUCCUAGUGUAGCGGUGAAAUGCGUAGAUAUUAGGAGGAACACCAGUGGCGAAGGCGGCCUGCGGGACGACAACUGACGGUGAGGCGCGAAAGCGUGGGGAGCAAACAGGAUUAGAUACCCGAGUAGUC